GAUUGUCAGGGUGGCUCCGCAGUGAGACCCAAAGCCUCCGACCAUGGGGACCACAGGCCCCUCUGAGGACCUGCCAGGACGGCCAGGCUGGGCAGCGGCACUCCACGACACAGGCUGGGGUGGGGACCCAGAGGCGGCAGGGCUGACCCUCAGCUCUGGCUCAGACCAGGACCCGGUGGACGAGGAAUGUGAUGCAAGGGAUGGUGUGGGCGUGAGGAAGGCUGGCACUUCUCACUGUGCCUCUGGGAACCUGGGCCACGACACUCAGAGGCCAGCUCCCUGCAGAAAGACCGGGCGGCCCCAGCUGUUCCUGCCAUCCCAGCUGAGGGUUGGACAGGCAAGUGCAGGACGAGCUUGAAUUUCCUGCCACUGCCGACCACAGCCAUGGGACUAACCCCAGGUAAGACCUACAGAAGAACCACCCAACUGAACCCAACCCAAAUAACAGAAUCGCAAGCAAAUACACAGUUGUUUGAA
rnacentral:antisense_RNA from 1 species